rnacentral:lncRNA from 1 species
AUGAAACAGAGCAGGAUGUUAAAUGUACAACCUGCGUCAGCAAGGAGCUUGCUCUUAAUCAACCAUCCACCUGAGAUACCUGGGGGCAAGGAAGGAGGAACGUGUUGGGACAGAGCGAAGCCACCGCCGAGGAGAGCGGCCACACAACCUGUGAGCCUUCGGAAGCCACUUGUUAAACGUCUCCCGUUUGAUCCCCAGGGAACAGUGUGCCAGAAACGGGAUGAAAAUGUUACUUCCAAGAAAGUGUCCCCCCCCACCACCACCUCGCCACCUCACCCCAGCAGUGUUUUCCAUAAGCUCCCAGCCAAGUUGGCCAAUAACUAAGGCAAAGAGCAGGGGGAAAAAAAAAAAAAGGAACUGAGCAUCCUUUUGCUACCCGAGAGAUUAGUCAGGUUCGUGUGUGACUCGGUGCUCGGGGGGACUGCACUGAGCCAGAAUGAACGCGCUUGUGAAUUGAGAAGGGUGUCACGAAGGGUGCAAGACUGAUGAAAAAUAGAUGAGCUGGUGUAAAUGUGCUCAGGAGCUGAAUGACAACGUGUUAGCCUUGGCGCUGCCGAAUUCAGGCAGGGCCUGUCAAUAGCAUUAGAGAUGCUGCACCAGAUUUUUCCAAGGCUGUUUGCAAAUCGACCUAAUGUUCCUGUUGACACAAACCCUUGAAAGCGCAGCUCAAAGCAGCUUUGCUGAACCCUCCUGAUUUGCUCACAGAUUGCCGUCAGAUGUGAGCAGGAGAGAAAGUACUUGCCUGGGCAUCCAGGAGAGGGGAAAAUAGGGAAUUAACUGUGCACACAGAUGUGUGAUAUUACCUUCCAGAAACGUAGAGCAGGGAAGGAACUUACCAGCAUCAGGAGGAGUUUCCUCAUUGUUCAGUGAACUGUGUUUCUUGGUUUGGAGGGAAAUCUGGGUACGUGCAUCCAACACGUUGACCAGUCUUCAGCGUGGACUGCAGGGCUUGGAAAAAUCUCCAUCUUUGACAAAUUAAGACCCUAGUAUGAAAAGAAACACCACAAAACAACCCAAAUCAGAGUGAUCUCAAACUGUUUUUUGUUAGAACUCCAGUUGAACGAUUUGAUGGUCUUUACUGUUACCAGCUUAUCACAUUAAUAGUUGCUUUUCUCUCACCCUGGUGAGACUUUGUACCAGAGACACCAUCAGUUGCUCACUCGUGGGAUGGCAACGUGCAGAGCAAACAAUGAGCCAAGGCUGUUUAGAAAUCCUUCAACACUUCAGGCAGCGGAGAAGAGCCCAAGUUUCCACGUAAAGGGCUGAACGGACAAGAAUGACGUGAAACAUAUGGAAAAUAUGGAAAAUGUGGAAUAAGUAAUAAAAUUAUAAAUAAAACAAAUACA